AAUGGAGCUACAUCCAUUAACAUUUACUUUUCCUUCCCAUAGAAAGUACUCCUGGAUCAGUGCUUCUGUGUUCUGUGACUUUCCCUGUUGCUGCCACGCCCUGCUGAGGAGUCAAACCAGGAAGAGGGGAACACCAUAAUGCUGACUUGAAACAGAAACUGCACGCACGCAAUCCCUCACAGAUGGACAGCUAAACAGUGAUCUUACUUGAUACUGAAAGUCCACUAUCAUCCCCCACAUAGCGAGAGGAUAUCUGUUUAAGCCCAGCAGAGGAUUUUCAUCCUGAAGACCUUGCAGGUAGUUCAGAGCUUCAAAAGCAAUUCUUCGGUUAAAUAGUCAGUAGCAUCUUCGCAUUCUUCAUUCCUGUCCGUCUGCACACUGCGCUCAGCUGCAUUGCUACUCAGUAGGGUGCCGGCUGGAAGGAAAGGACAAAGACAUAUUGUCAUCAAGUCUCCUAUUGCUGUGUUUCAUAAAAAGAAUCUGACAGACAGCACUGAUCCACUGGGAGCAAACCAGAACACCUGAAUAGGAGUAGUGGCUCAUUUCUAAACCUCCAUCUAGUAUACUUACACCCUUCCAAAUACCUGAGAUCCCCGUUGAGCUGUAAUCCCACCACUGGAGAUUAUUUUUGCAUAUACUAUUAACUGUGUUAAAUAGUAACUAAUGUUAUUUCACAGUAGAGGUUUUGAAUCAUGUUUCUGUUUAUUUUUCUGGUCAUGUUUUAGUCUUGUUCAUGUUUUGUCAAGUUUGGUUUUUGGAUCUUGUCAUGCUUCAGUUUCAUGUUGUUCUAGUUUCUGUUUGUUUGUAUUCAAGAGUCUGUUUUGCUCCAGCCACGUUUUGUUCUGUCUGUCAAUUAUCUUUAUUUGGUUCACCUGCACCUAGUUAAUCUGUCUUGCUUCACCUGGUUCACUCUCCAUAUAUACACACCUGUUCUGUUUAUUCCUCGCGGAAACAUUUUCUAAUCAUGCCCAAGUCUUGUUUACUGGAUCAUGUUCAUGUCUAGUUUUCUUUUGAAUUAUGCCAAACCUGUCUUGCCUGCUGGUUUACUGUUUUGUUCCUGCCUCUUGUAUGAGUGAGUUUUUUGUUAAUUAAAUCUUUUUGCACCUAC